GUUCGAUCUGGAGGGAAGGUUCACAGAGAGAACUUUCAACUUGUGCUAAAUAAUGACAGAAGUUGUACAUGAAAAACACAUUGCUGAGCAAAAUCCAGAUUUUCCAAAAAUUCAGAAAUUCAAAAUUGAAAGUGCUAGCUGUGGACAGUUCUAGACAGUCUGGGAAUUUCUUCUCCGUUCCACCUCGGAAGCGGUGCUUCAGGGACAAGAGACCCCCUGCAGCUCUGCUGGGCCCAGCCUGAGGGGCCCUGGACGCCAGCCGCCCCAAGGAGACAGACCAUGAGAAAGUUUGCUGACUCCUGGUUUAACAGUAUAAAAGAGAAAAGCCACAUGAUCAUUUGCAUGGAUACUACAAAAGAAUCUGACAAAAUUCAACAUCCAUUCAUGUUAAAAACUCUGAGCAAACUAGCUAUAAUAGGGAACCUCAAUCUGAAAAUGGGCACCAAAAAAAAAACAUACGCCUCAUACUUUCUUAGUGGUGAAACACUGAAUGCUUUCUACGCUCAGGAACAAGGGAAGGAUGUUCACUGUCACCACAUGCAUUUAACAUUAUCCUGGCCUUUCCAGUUAACGCAAGAAGGCAAAAACAAACAAACAAAAAACAAAAACAGAAAGACAAAAAAAAAGCAAGCAUAAAGACUGCAAAGGAAGAAAUGUCCCUAUUUGGAGAUAUGAUUAUUCACAGAGAAAAUCCUAAGGAAAUAAUGGCCUCAUCCAUGUGACCAGGUCAACAUCAGUGGGGAUAAUUCAUGUCAACGGCAUGUACCCUUGAUAUGUAGUGAUGAAAACAGCGCUUCAUUUCCAUGGUCUUCCCCUCAAAAAACAUAAUCCCAGUGUAAGCAUGACCAAAACUCAGACACACCACAAUUAAGAGACGUUCUACAAAAUAUCUGACCAGUAUUUGCCAAAACUGUUCGGUCAUCAAAAACAAGGCGAAAAUGAGAAACUGUCACUGCUAGGAGGAGCCUAAGGAAAUACGAUGACUAUCGUCCACGGCAUCUCGGACUCGAUGAAAUGGGAUCACUGUACCAACCGCAGGCGGCAAUGCAGUGAGCCAUCCGUGCAGCACUUCCAUCAUUUCACAGCCUCAGAAUAAAGUCACAAAGAGAUUUAAGAGACUGAUUGAUACCCAAAUGUCUAUCAACAGACGAAUGGAUAUACAAAGGAAUAUCAGACUCCAAAAGGAAGAAAAUUCUGAUACAUGGCUACAACAUGGAUGAACGUUGAGGACAUUAUGCUAAGUGAAAAAAGUCAGUAACAAAAAGACAAAUACUCUUAUGAUUCCACUGAUAAGAGGUACCCAGGGUCAUCACAUUCACAAAGACAGAAAGUAGAAUGGCAGUUGCCAGGGGCUAAGGGGUGGGAAGAAUAGGAAGUUGUUUAAUGUGUAUAUAGUUUUAGUUUUACAAGAUGAAAAGUGUUCCGGAGAUGGACGGUGGCAAUGGUUGUGCAACAGUGUGAAUAUAUUAACACUACUGAACUGUACACUUAAAAAUGGUUAAGAUGGUAAAUUUGAUGUUACGUGUAUAUUACCACAAUAAAAAUAUUGGGGGAAAAUGUCAUUGGAGUGGAUAUCAACGGACUGUUAAGCAAGGUAAUUAGGUUGUUGCCAUGGCUCUGUUGUCUGGUUUCCCUGAAGAAGUCAUAUUUAAGCUAGGAUCUAAAGAAUAAGUUCUCCCUUCGGCAAAGAAAGGAGAAAGAGCAUUCAAGGUAGAAGAAACAGCAUCUGCAUCAAGUGGUUGGUAAGAGAACUGAUGCAUUACACAGUUUGAAGUAAAUUAGGCGUAAUUUCAAAAGAAUGGCCUACUAAUUCAGCAAUAAAACAAUGUCUGCAAUGUACUGUUAAUUUGAAUUUUGUUGUUUUAUAGUUUUGUUUAUACUGAAUUUGAGAAUGUGUUAAAUUCUGUAGUUGUGGAAGAAUCAAAAGCAGGAUGAAUUAUUUACCUCUGAGGUUUUAAUUUAGAAUAAAAAUAACUUAAAUCAA